rnacentral:piRNA from 1 species
AGUAAACUAUUUAUAUGGGUCCGUCUU